AAAGAUACCAAAGGGACCAAUAUGUCCAUCGUGUUCGAGAGAACGUAGCUGGUGAAAAUGCAAGUGCUGUCUCUAUGUUUUCCACUUUGUGUAUCCCAAUUUUGGUGACAGAUGACACCAAAUGCCAAUGAAUGUCUUGUCUGUACACAUCCUGGAUCUUAUCCUAUAUACAUUUUAGAAAUUAUAUGAACAAACAUAUCUACAAAUAUUUUUGGUAAAUCUAGGUUACCAUUUCAUGGAUAAUAUUUAGCAUACGCAAUUUGGACACACAUAUAUAUUCUUCUUUUACAAUAUUUUUAAUCCUUACUUUUGCAUAAUUUUGGCAUAAAGCCCACUCAUAUAUUUA